rnacentral:rRNA from 1 species
GACGUAGGGCGCGAGCGUUGUCCGGAUUUAUUGGGCGUAAAGAGCUCGUAGGCGGCUUGUCGCGUCGUCCGUGAAAACUUGGGGCUCAACCCCAAGCUUGCGGUCGAUACGGGCAGGCUAGAGUUCGGUAGGGGAGACUGGAAUUCCUGGUGUAGCGGUGAAAUGCGCAGAUAUCAGGAAGAACACCCGUGGCGAAAGCGGCUCUCUGGGACGGUACUGACGCUGAGACGCGAAAAGCGUGGGGAGCGAACAGG